rnacentral:lncRNA from 1 species
AUGUCCACCUUUGUCCCAGGGAUGCGGCUCAGCCUGGAGAGAGGCUGGGCCUUCCUUGCUGCGUGCUUCUCGGCUCACAGCCUUGGCAGCGGCGUUGGAGGCCAUCUUGGUCACCUCCUGCCCAAAUGCCCCCUGUCGCCCUGCACUCUCUGUCUGCGUCUGUCUCUGUCUCUGUCUGUCUGUCUGUCUGUCUGUCUGUCUCUAUUUCUCUGUCUCUGCCCCUCUGUCUCUGUCUGUCUGUCUCUAUUUCUGUCUCUGUCUAUCUGUCUCUAUUUCUCUGUCUCUGUCUCUCUAUUUCUCUGUCUCUCUAUUUCUCUGUCUCUGCCCCUCUGUCUCUGUCUGUCUGUCUGUCUCUAUUUCUGUCUCUGUCUGUCUCUGUCUCUGCCCUUCUGUCUCUCUAUUUCUCUGUCUGUCUGUCUGUCUCUCUCUAUUUCUGUCUCGGCCCCCCAGCCAAUAGAGAUGGCUGGGGAUGGAGAGAACGCCCGGAGCUGGGCCUCCAGGGAGAAAAUCCCAAGUUCAGAUCCUUCUUCAGCCCAUUUAGGAAACGGAGGCCAGCGAGGUAAAGUGACUGGCCCAGGGUCACCCAGCCAGACUGGAACCCAGGCCUCUGGACUCCCGGCCUUGGAUCUCUCUUGUCCGUCUCUGGUGUCGGAAUGGAAGCUCCCAACGGCAAGCUUGUCUGGGUUUUCUUCGCCUUCCUGCCUUGAGGCUGGCCCCCUUCCCUCUCUCUUACAGGAGGCCGUAGGUGCCCUGUGCUGCCUCUACAGAUCCCAGCGGGAGUUUGCGCCCAUCACGGAGGCCUCCUCGGUGCAAUGCCAGCCCUGCAUUUGUGACACUCCCAAAUGUGUCCAAUGA